rnacentral:rRNA from 1 species
GCAUAUCAAUAAGCGGAGGAAAAGAAACUAACAAGGAUUCCCCUAGUAACUGCGAGUGAAGCGGGAAAAGCUCAAAUUUAAAAUCUGGCGGUCCCUGUGGCCGUCCGAGUUGUAAUUUAGAGAAGUGUUAUCCGUGCUGGACCGUGUACAAGUCUCCUGGAAUGGAGCGUCAUAGAGGGUGAGAAUCCCGUCUUUGACACGGACUGCCAGUGCUUUGUGAUGCGCUCUCAAAGAGUCGAGUUGUUUGGGAAUGCAGCUCAAAAUGGGUGGUAAAUUCCAUCUAAAGCUAAAUAUUGAGGAGAGACCGAUAGCGAACAAGUACCGUGAGGGAAAGAUGAAAAGAACUUUGGAAAGAGAGUUAAACAGUACGUGAAAUUGCUGAAAGGGAAACGCUUGAAGUCAGUCGCGCUGUUCAGGACUCAGCCUUGCUUUGCUUGGUGUACUUCCUGUUCGGUGGGUCAGCAUCAAUUUUGGUCGGUGGAUAAAGGCUUAGAGAAUGUGGCAUCUUCGGGUGUGUUAUAGCUCUGGGUCGCAUACAUCGGCUGGGAUUGAGGAACUCAGCACGCCGCAAGGCCGGGGACUUGUCCCACGUACGUGCUUAGGAUGCUGGCAUAAUGGCUUUAAUCGACCCGUCUUGAAACACGGACCAAGGAGUCUAACAUGCCUGCGAGUGUUUGGGUGGAAAACUCGAGCGCGUAAUGAAAGUGAAAGUUGAGAUCCCUGUCGUGGGGAGCAUCGACGCCCGGAGCAGACCUUUUGUGACGCAUCCGCGGUAGAGCAUGUAUGUUGGGACCCGAAAGAUGGUGAACUAUGCCUGAAUAGGGUGAAGCCAGAGGAAACUCUGGUGGAGGCUCGUAGCGAUUCUGACGUGCAAAUCGAUCGUCGAAUUUGGGUAUAGGGGGCGAAAGACUAAUCGAACCAUCUAGUAGCUGGUUCCUGCCGAA